rnacentral:rRNA from 1 species
CAGUAGCCGCGGUAAUACGUAGGUGGCAAGCGUUGUCCGGAAUUAUUGGGCGUAAAGGGCUCGCAGGCGGUUUCUUAAGUCUGAUGUGAAAGCCCCCGGCUCAACCGGGGAGGGUCAUUGGAAACUGGGCAGCUUGAGUGCAGAAGAGGAGAGUGGAAUUCCACGUGUAGCGGUGAAAUGCGUAGAGAUGUGGAGGAACACCAGUGGCGAAGGCGACUCUCUGGUCUGUAACUGACGCUGAGGAGCGAAAGCGUGGGGAGCGAACAGGAUUAGAUACCCCAGUAGUCCCUGUCUCUUAUAC